UCUCCCUCUUCCUCUCGUCCUCCUCAUCUUGCUCCUCCUUUCCACCCCGCGUCGUCUCCUCCAAUCUUCCUUGCCACUGCGUCCUCCCCUACUCUCCCCGCCCCACCACAGCCUCCUCCCCUCCCUUGUCCCCCGCCUCCUCCCUCCGCAGCGCACGUGCGCGCAGGACAUGGCGGCGCGGCGAGGAUCUCCACCCUCCGCGGCGGCGCCUGGGCACGCGCACGAGGAUUUGCCGGCGUGGCACAGCGAUGAUGAGGCGGAAGGCGGGAUGAGGAGCGGCGGCUUGGAUGCGGUGGCGGGUGGGGUGAGGAGCGGCGCACAGAUCUGCGGGGCUGCAGCGGGGAACGGCGAUGCGGUGGCGCGCAGCGCAGUUUCCGCCUCAUGGUUUCACUGUCGGGCUAGUAAAGAGUUCACCAUGGUGAUGCUGAAGAAUCUCCAAAGUAGUUUAUGUAAACUAUCUUGGAUGAACUGUUCUCCCAAAGGUCAGUCAUCGAUAUACUAAUUUUUUUCUUCAGAAUUUCCCACUUUCAAUUAUUCUGUACACACUUUUUUCUCCAACUUUUUUGAUACUGGUUAGUGGUUACUGACAAUGAACAAAUUCCACUAGUUGUAGAAUAGUGAUGCCUUCUUAACAUUUUUUCUCGUACCUUGGAUGAUUUUGACUAUUUACUUUUCAUAGGCAACUUAUGUGAAAUCAAUAAGCAAAUUAUAUAUUUUGGUUUAGUCUUUUUGGGUUCUAAUUAGCAUUUUUGGUGUUAAGGUGGUCUGCUAUUUUUCAACUGAUUUAAUUUGUUCUUGGUGUGUAUUUUAAUUCAUAUGCUAGCUAGAAAAUUCAUUUUACUUUAGCAUUUGUAUUUCUAGUUUUGCAUUUUUCCUGAACCUCCUUUACAAAAUGAUUGCCAGUCUCUGGAUUGUUUUAAUAUUUUUGAUGCAGUGGGUGUGUGGAAAUUAGAGAUCCCUAAGGUUUUGAUCUGUUAAUUGCCUCCACAAGGGGAUUGAGGGGCACUGGAAGGGAUUGGGGUGGAUUUUGGAUUGUUUAGGAUUUGAUCCCCCAACCCUCUUCAAUUCACUUGCAACCGAACAAGACCGAAGGAGAGGUUGCACAAUAAGAGCAGCGGCAGCGGUUGUUUUGCCACCGCACCAGCAGUAGCGCGUCUGUCAUCAGCUUAGGAAGGUCGCCAGAGUAGUGAACAUGAAUGCAGAAGGCAUUUUGAGUAAUUAGAAGCAAAUAUAUUUAGCAAUUGGGGAGUACAUAUUUGAGUACAUUUUGCAGUUCUAAUUUAGAUAGUUCUGCAAAUGAAAAAUUGUAGGCAGUUAAAUAUAGAACUUUGCAAGUCUCAAAACUGUGCUAUAAGACGCAUGAUGAUGCAUGCCAUUUAUGUGUUUUUCCCCAUGGGUUUGAUGUUGUGUAUUCAGAAGUGCCUGAUGAUUUUUGUAUGUUGCCCGACAUUUGUGUUCUAGUUAAGAUUCCUGAUGAUGUUUAUUAUUUUGCCUAAACCACAUACCUAAUGAUGAAUGAUGCCUUA